GAUGAACGCUGGCGGCGUGCCUAAUACAUGCAAGUCGAGCGAACGGACGAGAAGCUUGCUUCUCUGAUGUUAGCGGCGAACGGGUGAGUAACACGUGGAUAACCUACCUAUAAGACUGGGAUAACUGCUGGAAACCAGAGCUAAUACCGGAUAAUAUUUUGAACCGCAUGGUUCAAAAGUGAAAGACGGUCUGGCUGUCACUGAUAUAUGGAUCCGCGCUGCAUUAGCUAGUUGGUAAGGUAACGGCUUACCAAGGCAACGAUGCAUAGCCGACCUGAGAGGGUGAUCGGCCACACUGGAACUGUGACACGGUCCAGACUCCUACGGGAGGCAGCAGUAGGGAAUCUUCCGCAAUGGGCGAAAGACUGACGGAGAAACGCCGCGUGAGUGAUGAAGGUCUUCGGAUCGUAAAACUCUGUUAUUAGGGAAGAACAUAUGUGUAAGUAACUGUGCACAUCUUGACGGUACCUAAUCAGAAAGCCACGGCUAACUACGUG
rnacentral:rRNA from 1 species